rnacentral:lncRNA from 1 species
GCACGAUGAGGUAGCAUCAGUGGUGUUGGUGGGUGCAACCUCAGCGAUUCCUUGACUACAGCUUGCAGGUAAGGGAGAUUUGGGAAAUCUGCUUCAGUCAUGACACGUUCGAACCCAACCACUCGGUCUAGCUCAUCUUGAGCCUUCUGUUGAACCCUUGGGUUCUUGAGUAGCUCAGCCAUUGCCCACUCCACUGAGAUUGCUGUCGUAUCCAUGCCAGCACUGAUCAUGUCCUGCACAAAAUAUUAGAUACAAGUAUAAUUAAACCCUAAUCAGUCAUAGCCAGUCAACCAAAGAUUCAUUUGACAGCAUAGAGAAACUUCUAUCCACCAAAUUGUUUAAGAUUUUAAGCGAAAUGUGCAUACAUACCCAUAGGAGACUAAUAAAUGUGACCUCGCUGAGGUCAUAUUUUUCUUGCAGUGUUAGCAAUGCAUCAACAAAAUGAUUCUUGACCCCACCACUUUUCUUGCGUGCAUUGUUAUGUUCCUCCAUGAUAGAUCUAACCAGCCUGUCUCGACGAGCAUUAAGCUUGGCAAAAGCCUCUUCCUCUAGUCGAACCAUCCAUUGAAGCCAUGGAAUGUGCUCGGCCAUGGAAUGUGAUGCACCAAGCCUAAAUCCAUCGGAAACAAUUGCCUUGAAUUCUUGGCCUUGCUCAUCAAUUAUCCCCUCUGAAUUCAUGAACCGCUUUCCAAAUGCUAGUCUUGUAAUGUUAUUCCAAGCCACAUCUCCCAAAUAUUUCUUCACCAACAAGAUUUUUCCAUGGUUUUCUGCAAGAGAUAGUUCAUGAUCUCAAGACCAGUCCUUUUAGACAAUUUCGAAUUAGGCACAACGACCAUUAAUCUGACAGGUUUUAGUGUGAUAACUAGCUUUCUGACCCGCAUUUUGUUGUCAAUUGAAUUUUUUUUUUCUCAACAAAAAAAAAAUAAAUAUUUAGGUUUUUCCAACAUGUUUUUUGACAUAUAAAAAAAUCUUAAUUGUAAAUUAAAAAGUUAAUGCAUGCAUUUAAUUAAAUAAAUUAAGAAUCAUCUAUGCUAUAAAAAAAACCAAAAUGAUUUGUUUAUGAUAAUUAAAGACUAAAAUGAAAAACCCAAAAAUUAAUAUAAAUCAAAAUAUUUGAUUUCACAGUAAAAAUAAUAUAUCUAGUUGAUUAUUGAUGAAGACUAAUUAUGGGAUGGGAUAGUAUUUCUCACAACAAACAUGAUUUGCCAGAUGAAUCUUAAGAUACAAGAUUAAGAGGACGUCUACCUCAAAUAUAUUUCUACCAUCGUAUGGGUGUUCCUAAUAGAAAGAAAGAAAGAAAAAACGUAAAGAACAGCUAAAUUGCUAAAAAUAGUUUGGUGCAAUCCUUGAAAAUGGAUUCUGCCAUGAAAGAAACCUCAUCUUCUCUAAUAGGUCUAUGAAAGAAACCUCAUCUUCUCUAAUAGGUCUGAGUUCCUCAAGUCUCUUUGCUGAGAAGAGCUCAAGAGUAGUCAGCCCAUAUGAGGUCCUCGCCACCUCUACUAAACCUGGCGAGAAAUCUAGUCCUAUGCCUAUCAGCCAGCUGCUGGUCAUUCUCUUUGAGAACUUGCCUGGCCAGUUCCGCAUUACACACAACUACAUUCAAAGUUGAACCAAACCAAACUGAAACAAUUGGUCCGUAAGCCUGAGCCCACUCUGCAAAACAUCUGAACAUAAUAAGCUUGACAUCAUAGAGGUUCCCAACAAUCGGCCACGGUCGUGGACCAGGCGGUAGCUUGAACCUCAGCCUCUGGUACAGAAUGUAUGCAAGAACGAGAACAAAGAUCGAAACUAAUACUAACAGAGGCAGAGCCAUAUAGGAAAAAGAGAGAUGAAGAUAGGGCAAAGGUUAGUUUUUGAAGGUUCUAGCCAAAGAAAUGUCAGGAGAGAUGUCUAUAUAUAUAUAUAUAUAUAUAUAUAUAUAUAUAUAUAUAUAUAUAUAUAUAUAUAUUUGAAUAAUGGUGUAGAAUUGAUGGAUUUGAAAGUUUUUGUUAGAAACGUGCUUUAUGUGAAUAUUACGAGUGAGUAAUGGGCGUCAUGCAAAUGCAAUGGCAAUGGCAAUUUUUCAUCCAAAUUGUCCGGAUGAUCACCUCCUUUAAUUUUAAUUUAUUAUCAUCAUAAAUCGAAUACUUUUUUUUUCAUUUUACAAAAACAAUAAUUUAAAAGAAAAUAAAAGCAUGCGUGGAGGUAUUAUUGAGUAUACAUGAAAUUAUUAAACUAGCACAGCCCAUGAUCGAUUCAAGGUAUGACUGAUGGGUUAAUUAAACAGUUUAACUUGAUUUGAUAUUUUUAAUAUUGUUUUAAAAUAAAUUAAAAUAAUAUUAUUUUAAAAUAAAAUCAGGUUUUAAUAAGAUGAAACAAGCUCAUUAACAUUCCAUAUAUUUUAGAGAGAUUAAAUCUAUUGACAUGGAGAUGAGCAUUACUAAACUACUACCUUACCCUAUUAAAUUCGAAGAUAAUAUUCUUCCUUGACAAGUAAAAAAAAAAAAAUUCCUUAUUCAGACCUUUAAGAUAUUUUUAUAUCAUUUUUUUUUGUUUUUUUUAAUUUUUAUUUAAAAAAAAUUUAAAGAAAAAAGAAAACUUGUUUUGUAUUUUUUAUUUUAUAACGUAAAUGAGUUUAAAUUUGUAGUUGGACAUAUUUAUCAGUAAUUUACUAGAUCUUUAUGAACAAUUUUAUUAUACGCUUUUUUAAUAAUUCUUAUAACAUGAUCUUGAAGUAGGUUUCCUGUGUAGAAAGUAUCACAUGUAUUUAACAUAAUCUCCGUUGUUGAAUCUCAACAACUAAUUAACAAAAAAUUAUAUGAGAAAAAAAAAUUUAUUGUACUUCUCAUAUAAUAUUAUUUAUUAAAAUAAUAUUUUUAUUUUUUAUUUUUCUUUCGAUUUUAAUCACAUUUUUUAACAUUAGGUUUAUUGAGGAUUUAAUUUCAUGAAUUUUUUAAAUUUACUUCUUAUGAUGUUAUUAUAAACACAUGACCCGAACUGUAGAUUUGAUAGAUUUAACUGAAGUUUUUUUUUUCUAAUUGACUUUUUUUUUUCAAUGUCAUCCUUUAACAUUGGGUUGAUUAGGAAUUAAACUACGUAAUUUGUUUCGAUUUGAUUUUUAUGAGGUUAUCUUCAUCUUAUAACUCGGGUCACGGGUUUAGCGGGUUAACCUUGGUUGACUGGAGUUGUUUUUUAUGUUACUUUUUAAUUAUUUUUUUAUUUCAUAUUUCAACACUGGGUUAAUUGAAAAUUGAGCUUUAUAAUUUGUUUCAAUUUUCUUUUUAUUUGUUUAUCAUGGUCUCAUGACUCAAAUCACGGGUUUGACAUGUUAAAUCGAGUUAUUUUUUUAACUAUUUUUUUUUCAGUUUCAUCAUUCGACAUUAGAUUUAUUAGAAAUUGAGUUUCAUAAUUUAUUUUAAUUUGUUUUUUAUGGGAUUAUCAUGAUUUCAUGAUUUGGUAUGUGGAUUGACGAGUUGACCCAAAUUAAUCUAAUAUAUUGAUGUCUUAAUAUUUAUUUAAAAAAUCACAUUUUAAAUAUUUAUUUUGAGUCAAAAUAUAUUUUGUUGGUCAUUUUGGUUGUUUUUGGACUCUCUAAGAUAAUUGAGUCACAUCAGAUUGAUUCUAACACAAACCAAUAAUCUAGUACUGUUCUAAACUAGAGAGAACAUAUAUACAUCUUAGAGAGUCUAGUACUGAUCUAAACUCGAGAGAACAUAUAUUUAACAUAAUCUCUAGAGCUAAACUAGAAAGAAAGAAUGGUAAAUAUACAAGGAAGAAAAAAAAAAUUGAGGGACCAUAUUUUUUAAAACAAGGACCCAAACCGUGUCCUGGCAUCUCAGGCCCAGACCACGCGUCUGACACCCCUGGGCUCAUGCCACGUGCUUGGGUCCAGUGCCAAACAACAACAAUAAUAUCUGACGGUCCUUUCAUUCUAUGAAUUUAAUAGUACUCUUGGAUGUAAGCGGUUUGAUUUGAAGGUUGAAGUAAUGAAGAACAUAGAGGGAGCGUUUUAUGUGAAUUUGAUGCCAGCGGAUGCUAAAUCUUUUGUGUCUUGCAGUGACAGUAUCGUAUAGAGCAAUAAACACAGCACCCUGGCAACUAUGCUUUAUGUCAGAAUCUGUAUCUAUCAAUGCUUUAUGAGACUGGUGUGGCUUUCAUGAGUCACCUCCUCAAUCAUAUGAUAUAGAAAUGCUUGAGUUGCAAAUACAAAAUAUUGACUGCUUAUUGAAUGCAGCUAAUGUUUUUUCCCAUCAUUUAUUCCAAACCAUAGGCAUCCGUUUCAGACUUGGUGAUGGACCAUCUCCCGUUCAAAAACUAAUAUAAUCCAGGUACAACCAUGGCAGCAACGUGCAAAUCACAUAUCUGAAGCCACCCGCUUGUACAAGUGUGGAGGCAGGCGAGGAGUGGCCACUGCUUGUAGUGGGGUCAUCAUAUAAGUGACAAUUCCAGGUCUUUCUGACAUGUCAAUUUCCUCCGGCUUGACACCAUCAGGGGUGGUCCAAUGAAAAUGGUGGAGCAGAUGACCGAUCAUAGACGUGACCAGAUUGAUGGCAAGCUGUGCACCAGGGCACACCCUUCUUCCAGCGCCGAAUGGAAGUAGCCUGAAAUCAUGACCCUUCAUGUCGACAUCCUCCUCAAAGAACCUCUCCGGCCGGAACUCUAAAGGGUUCUUCCACAAAGCUGGAUCACGAGCCACAGCCCAUACGUUUACGUGAACAACUGAUCCCUUAGGGAUGUCAUAGCCGCCGAUUUUAACAGUAGUACUGGCACGAUGAGGUAGCAUCAGUGGUGUUGGUGGGUGCAACCUCAGCGAUUCCUUGACUACAGCUUGCAGGUAAGGGAGAUUUGGGAAAUCUGCCUCAGUCAUGACACGUUCGAACCCAACCACUCGGUCUAGCUCAUCUUGAGCCUUCUGUUGAACCCUUGGGUUCUUGAUUAGCUCAGCCAUUGCCCACUCCACUGUGAUUGCUGUUGUAUCCAUGCCAGCAGUAAUCAUGUCCUGCACAAAUUAUUAGGUGCGAGUUUAAUUAGGCCAUAAUCAGUCAUAGCUCGUCGACCGAUGAUUCAUUUAACAGCAAAAACGAAAUCACCAAAUUGUUUUAAGAUUUUGAGGCGAAACGUGCAUUCAUUCAUA